AUUGUUGUAAUAAAGCAAGAAUUUUUUCAGUUAUUGCAAACCUUUGGUUCCAUACAUUCUGAAAUUGCCUUUUCUCCUUACACGACGUUUCUUUUGGAAUCAAAAUGAUAUUCCGAAUAAUUUUCUUGUUUCUGAUUAUCGGAGCUGCUGUAAAUGCUUACGAUUGCAACAGACGUUGCGGGGUCUGCUUGCCAGCUGACUGUCGUCCAGGUGAAACAAUUGUGCGCAAAGGAGAUAAAUGUGGGUGCUGUGACAUUUGUGCAUCUGCAACAGAAUAAAUAUUGAUGAUGGCGACGUAGUUCUCUGCAAUCUCAACUAGAAUUUCUGUGAAACACGUGAAUACCUUUGGUGUAUUGUUUUCUUUUUCUAUUAGAUGUGAACAUAAAAUAAAUUCUUGCUUAUAAAAUCUGCC